UUGCAUUAUGAACAUAAUGAACCUUGUCCCUAAUGUUGACUGAUGCCUUACUGUGAAAGAUAGUUGUUACCUCAAUGACUAUAGAGUAACAGAUGGAUGAGAUACUAUGGAGUCAAUGAAUAUACUAUGUUUUAUAAAUUUGGUGCUAAUUUAUCCCAAGUACAUGUGAUUUUGCCUGCUAAUUUUUUGCCUUAUGUAAUAGAAUUUCUGUUGCUCUGGUUUUUGCUAGUCUGCUGCAUGUUUCUCUUAAGCUGUCUUCUUGCAUGACAACUGCAUACUGUGUGGCUUCUUUUAACUGAUCAACUACAUAUUGUGAUGCAUGAUAUAUCUGUGAGAAAUGUACAUUUUGUGGAUCCAAAGUGUUCAUGGCUGAAGUUAUUAUUCGUGGGUUUUUGUUAGUUUUGGAUUGGUUUCUGGCGUACACCCAUGGAUACAGAGUUUCUCGGAUUGUUGCACGAAGUGAGAAGCAUAACAUGUACAUGCUGCUAGAUGUAAAUACUGAGAUUUAUCCUUUAAACAUAGGCGAAAGAUUCUUGUUGACUUUGUCUCCAUCGCUUGUUUUAAAUACUAAGGAUAUGAAUUCAAAUAAUGUGUGUUCUAGAGUGGAUUGUUGGGCUGGCACAAGACCAAUACCACCUCCUCGACUGUAUAAGCCUCACAUCAUCACCUAUGAAGGUAUAUCUCAUUCUAAACCUCUCUUUAACUCAAAAGUUUGAAGGACAUAAAUUAACUUAAAAGCAAAGACAAAAAAUUAUUACUCAAAGGAAGGAUAAUGUAACAUCCUGACUUUAAUAGGAGAAUAUUAAGGCUUAAUUGCAUAUUUAGUCCCUUAUGUUUAUUUUAGGUUUCAAUUUGGUCCCUUAUGUUUAAAAAGUUUCAAGUUGGUCCCUUAUGUUAUUGAUCUCAAAAUAAGUUGGUCCUUUUCGUUAAAUUUUGAGUUAAUUUCUUCUUAAAGUUUCACAUAGUACUCUCCUAAGUGGUUCACGUACGCAAAUUCAUUAGACAAGUCGACGAUUUAAACAAAAAUUUGACGAAAAGGACCAACUUGAAACUUUUUAAACAUAAGGGACCAAAUUGAAACAUAAAAUAAACAUAAGGGACCAAAUAUGCAAUUAAGCUGAAUAUUAAUUAGAGAUAAUUAUUAGAAACUACAUGGAAAUAAGUGAACAAGUAUAAAUGGAUAAUCAAAGGACACAAGUAAGUACAUUUUGGUGUUAAGUGGAGGGGGAAAAGGAUAGUAAAAUAGCACAAUUGUGAAUUCAAGACAUGUUGGAGGGCAAGGAGAUACAUUGGUCCAAUGACUUAAAUAUUUUUGAUGAGAGGAAAAGAAGAGAUGAAAUUUAUUUUUCCCUUCCUUCCUUCCCUGUUUCUAUGACCAAAUCUCAUUUCAUUUCUUCCUAUUUCAUCAAAAUCAAACUUGCAUGUGUGUCAUUCUUUUUCCAAUAACCUCAUAUGAGCCCACAAAGGUAAAGUUUCAACUCAUCUCUUCCCUCACCUCCACAAGGUUGUCGAACCACCUUCCUCCUACACCCAAAUUCUUCUAUUCUUGUACCAUUGAAGAUUGCAUGGGUGAUUUUCCUCUCCAUUCAUAUCACUACAGCCCAAAAGAAGUUGAACUUAAACUCUAUUUGUUUCCUCUCAAACUCUUGGUGAGAUUUCUCUCAAAACCCCAAUUCUCAAUUGUGCUUAAUUUUGGUACCAAUCUCUUGAAUCUUGUAUAAGAAUUGAGGUCUGGAGACAUUUUUGAAAUUGGAAGUCAGUAGCAGGAUUUGUGCAGAAAAUUCUGUUACGGGUGGUUUAAAGUGCUUUCGCUACGAAUUCUGCAUUUCGGCGAACUCCGGGUUAUCAGUGGUACUGUUCAAGCAUCAAUUAUAGGUGGGUUCCUUUAGGUAUUAGUGUUACCUUAUUUACUUGGCCAUUAGGUAAUUUAAUUAGUGACUAAGUCCUAGAUACAUUUGUAUUGGAGUAUUAGCGUUCUCAUUAUACUCCUAGAGGUCAUCAAUAAUGUUUGAUCAUCAUAACUAUACAUAAAUAAGCUUACCCUUCCCCUUGCUUAUUAUGUAAGAUUUAGAUUAAUUGGUGUAUGAUGACGCUUAAACCCCAAGGCUCAUUGAUUGUUAGGUUGAAAUUAUGUUUAAAAGAUGCAUUUUUAUGACACUGAUGAAUUGGGAUUGUGGGUGUUGAAUUAAAUUCUUUUGCACUUUUACAACUGUUAUGGAUCCGUCUGCGAGUCUACGUACUUUCGAGGUUGAUUGAGAAUGGAUUCAUAAUAAUUUUAUUACUUAAAAUCACUCGUUUUAGGUCCCAAUUGAUCACCAAAGAAUUUCUUAAAUAAGCUUGCAGCUUUUAAAUGUGAUUUUAGCCUUCAAUACACCAGGUCAACUGCAAAUCAGGUUUUCCUCGGGGUAGUCACUACCGUAGUUGGGGUAGUAGGAGCGCAUUGAGGCUUAGUAGUCUUAACCAUUGUAUUCAUCAUUAUGUAUUUUAUUCCCGAAUGGUUGUAAUACCAAUUAUGUAUUCAUCCGAAUGGUUUUGUAAUUUUAAUGUAUCCAGAUUCAUUAUGUAUACUCCUAUUAAUAUU